rnacentral:rRNA from 1 species
GAUGAACGCUGGCGGCGUGCCUAAUACAUGCAAGUAGAACGCUGAAGCUUGGUGCUUGCACCGAGCGGAUGAGUUGCGAACGGGUGAGUAACGCGUAGGUAACCUGCCUCUUAGCGGGGGAUAACUAUUGGAAACGAUAGCUAAUACCGCAUAAAAGUCGAUAUCGCAUGAUGUUGAUUUGAAAGGUGCAAUUGCAUCACUAAGAGAUGGACCUGCGUUGUAUUAGCUAGUUGGUGAGGUAACGGCUCACCAAGGCGACGAUACAUAGCCGACCUGAGAGGGUGAUCGGCCACACUGGGACUGAGACACGGCCCAGACUCCUACGGGAGGCAGCAGUAGGGAAUCUUCGGCAAUGGGGGCAACCCUGACCGAGCAACGCCGCGUGAGUGAAGAAGGUUUUCGGAUCGUAAAGCUCUGUUGUAAGAGAAGAACGAGUGUGAGAGUGGAAAGUUCACACUGUGACGGAUCUACC